rnacentral:rRNA from 1 species
AAAUAUUCCUGUACCGAUGUGUAGUGCGAUGUGGGGACGGAUCUUAAUAGGUCAUCCGGGUGUUGGAUAUCCCGGUUUAGUUGGAAGUAGGCGAUGGGUAGGCAAAUCCGCCCGUCAUAUACCGAGGCCAAUGAUCGAGCCAGCUUGCUGGUGAAGUGACUGAACGAGGUUCCAGGAAAAGCCACUAAGCUUCAGCUACACACGACCGUACCGCAAACCGACACUGGUGCGCGAGAUGAGUAUUCUAAGGCGCUUGAGAGAACUCAGGAGAAGGAACUCGGCAAAUUGACACCGUAACUUCGGAAGAAGGUGUGCCCUAUUAGUGUGAAGUGAACAACGGAGCAUGAAUGGGUUGCAAAAAAUCGGUGGCUGCGACUGUUUAUUAAAAACACAGCACUCUGCAAACACGAAAGUGGACGUAUAGGGUGUGACGCCUGCCCGGUGCUGGAAGAUUAAAUGAUGGGGUGCAAGCUCUUGAUUGAAGUCCCAGUAAACGGCGGCCGUAACUAUAACGGUCCUAAGGUAGCGAAAUUCCUUGUCGGGUAAGUUCCGACCUGCACGAAUGGCGUAACGAUGGCCACACUGUCUCCUCCUGAGACUCAGCGAAGUUGAAAUGUUUGUGAUGAUGCAAUCUCCCCGCGGAAAGACGGAAAGACCCCAUGAACCUUUACUGUAGCUUUGUAUUGGACUUUGAACAGAUCUGUGUAGGAUAGGUGGGAGGCUUUGAAGCAGGGUCGCUAGAUCUUGUGGAGCCAACGUUGAAAUACCACCCUGGUGUGUUUGAGGUUCUAACCUAGGUCCAUUAUCUGGAUCGGGGACAGUGCAUGGUAGGCAGUUUGACUGGGGCGGUCUCCUCCCAAAGCGUAACGGAGGAGUUCGAAGGUACGCUAGUUACGGUCGGACAUCGUGACGAUAGUGCAAUGGCAUAAGCGUGCUUAACUGCGAGACUGACAAGUCGAGCAGAUGCGAAAGCAGGACAUAGUGAUCCGGUGGUUCUGUAUGGAAGGGCCAUCGCUCAACGGAUAAAAGGUACUCUGGGGAUAACAGGCUGAUACCGCCCAAGAGUUCAUAUCGACGGCGGUGUUUGGCACCUCGAUGUCGGCUCAUCUCAUCCUGGGGCUGUAGCCGGUCCCAAGGGUAUGGCUGUUCGCCAUUUAAAGAGGUACGUGAGCUGGGUUUAAAACGUCGUGAGACAGUUUGGUCCCUAUCUUCCGUGGGCGCUGCAGAUUUGAGGAAGCCUGCUCCUAGUACGAGAGGACCGGAGUGGACACACCUCUGGUGUAUCGGUUGUCACGCCAGUGGCAUUGCCGAGUAGCUAAGUGUGGAAGAGAUAACCGCUGAAAGCAUCUAAGCGGGAAACUCGUUUCAAGAUGAGAUCUGCCGGGGCCUCGAGCCCCCUGAAGAGUCGUUCAAGACCAGGACGUUGAUAGGUCGGGUGUGGAAGCGCAGUAAUGCGUUAAGCUAACCGAUACUAAUUGCUCGUGCGGCUUGAUC